rnacentral:rRNA from 1 species
UUAGGAAUUUUCCACAAUGGGCGAAAGCCUGAUGGAGCAAUGCCGCGUGCAGGAUGAAGGCCUUAGGGUUGUAAACUGCUUUUAUACGUGAAGAAUAUGACGGUAACGUAUGAAUAAGGAUCGGCUAACUCCGUGCCAGCAGCCGCGGUCAUACGGAGGAUCCAAGCGUUAUCCGGAUUUACUGGGCGUAAAGAGUUGCGUAGGUGGUAAUUUAAGUGAAUAGUGAAAUCUUGUGGCUCAACCAUAAGGC